GGGCACACGACAUUGCUCACAUUGCUUCCAGUAUAUGUAUUUGCAUUAGACUGCGCCUUUUCU
rnacentral:antisense_RNA from 1 species